UGGGGAAUAUUGGACAAUGGGCGCAAGCCUGAUCCAGCCAUGCCGCGUGAGUGACGAAGGCCUUAGGGUUGUAAAGCUCUUUUGGCGGGGACGAUAAUGACGGUACCCGCAGAAUAAGCCCCGGCUAACUUCGUGCCAGCUGCCGCGGUAAUACGAAGGGGGCUAGCGUUGUUCGGAAUCACUGGGCGUAAAGCGCACGUAGGCGGAUUUGUAAGCCAGGGGUGAAAUCCCGGGGCUCAACCUCGGAACUGCCUUUGAUACUGCAAGUCUCGAGUUCGGGAGAGGUGAGUGGAAUUCCUAGUGUAGAGGUGAAAUUCGUAGAUAUUAGGAAGAACACCAGUGGCGAAGGCGGCUCACUGGCCCGAUACUGACGCUGAGGUGCGAAAGCGUGGGGAGCAAACAGGAUUAGAUACCCCCGUAGUCCCUGAGCGGGCUGGCAAGGCGCAU
rnacentral:rRNA from 1 species